CAUGAAACUUUAAAUGUAGCCUCAUAAAAAUAUUUCUGACAUAUUCUCCAGUUUGCAUAAUUUUCUGACACUGUGCAUUUUCUGCUAAUUUAUCUGUUCCGUUUCUCACAGAAAAUUCUAAAUCUUCUGUUUUCGCUCCGAUUUCAGCACAGGUUAUUCCCAACCUAUAUUUCAUUUCUCUAAAUCCACUAUAAUAGUAUCUCAUACUAUUUUUAUUUAUUUUCACUUUUAUAUUUAAAAUCCGGUACGUUACAUUCCACCGCAACCUCACCGGAACCAUUUAAACGUACACCGUAACUUCAUAAUUUUAGAAGUCCGGUACCUUACAUCCUCCCCUCCUUAAAAGAGUUUCAUCCUCGAAACUAACUCACUUCAAAUCCAACUCCAAUUCAUACCUCAACUUAAUUCAUCGAGUAAUCGAGGGUUUCAAUGCACUUUUCCAUCCCGGAGUGGCCUUUCACUCGUUGGAAUCAUCCAAAGGCCCACUACGGAGGAUGUGAGACCAAUUUCACUCACAUUUGCUAAGCGUAACUCUAAAAGUGCAUUACGGCUCCGCGAGUCUCGGUGGUAGUGUAAGUUGACAUUCAACAACUCUACACAUUCUCACACCUCUCACCAACCAGCCUGCAAAGAACUCCUCUUUGCAUUUCUCAUCCCGCCAGGGAACACACUCCGAUUCAAUCACCGGCAUUGCUUAAAAGCAAUAUCGUUGGUGCAUCGACCAAUCGCGAGUGCUCCAAUCACACUCGGACCUUUGCUCUAUUGAGAGAUGGCCCACUUCGGCGCCUCUCGAAUCUCGAUCCACAAAAGAGCAUUAUCCUCAAGUUCUCCAACUCCUCCAACAAGACCGAGCCUGCCUGGGCAAAUUUCACACUCGGGGACCGGUCUCUCCCUGCCAGGGACCGGUCCCAGAGGACCUUCCCAAUCUCACGCGUUCGGGAACCGGUCUCCCUGGCCCGGGGACCGGUUGCCUCGCGCGUUGCCGCAACCACCAGCGGGUGGGACCGGUCUCUCCUUGCCAGGGACCGUCUCCGAGGGCAAUUUUUGCCAAAUGCAGAUUUGGCAUAACUUGCUCUCGCGAAUCCGUAGCAAUGCACUUUUGGUGCAUUUGACUUCUUCGGCUUUUCCAAAACACUCCCACUUGACAAUUAGUCGAUUUUGAGGGAAGUCCAACUCUCGUAUUUCGAGAAUUCACUUCCUUACUCCAACUCCUCCACAGAGUUGUCAGCUAAACUGAUUACGUCGGCUUUCACAUGUGGACCAACAGUCGCAAAUACUACGUAGGCCUACCGCCUAAAUCUAUCGCAACUACGCAUAGUGUCUCUCGCUCGCAUCGUAGACCCAAGCUCGGUUUUACUUAAUAAGUCCAAAGAAAUUUUAAUAUUUCAGUUUCGAUCCCGUUUGGUCACCGAAAGCUGUGCCGAACUGUAAUCUUUAGCAGAUAGCAGUUCGAUUUUAUUUUUCACCUUCCGGGUGUCAGAAUGAUAUGAAACUUGAAAUGUAGCCUCAUAAAAAUAUUUUUGACAUAUCCUCCAGUUUUCAUAAUUUUCUGAUACUGUGCAUUUUCUGCUAAUUUAUCUGCCCCGUUUCUCACAGAAAAUUCUAAAUCUUCUGUUUUCGCUCCGAUUUCAGCACAGGUCAUUCUCAACCUAUAUUUCACUUCUCUAAAUCCACUAUAAUAGUAUCUCAUACUAUUUUUAUUUAUUUUCACUUUUAUAUUUAAAAUCCGGUACGUUACAUUCCACCGCAAUCUCACCGGAACCAUUUAAACGUACACCGUAACUUCAUAAUUUUAGAAGUCCGGUACCUUACG
rnacentral:lncRNA from 1 species